UAAGCCAAAAGAUAAGAAACAAAGCGUGCCGUUUAAAAGUAAGAAAAGGAGGAGACAGAACUGAGCUGUCGUGUACAGCUUUUAUCCAUCACUGUUUCAAGGCAUAUCUCUGGUAAAAAGAAAGAAGUCAGAAAUAAAAAGAGAACCAAUGCCACGCUGAGGACGCAGGAAUGAGAAAAGUGAGAAGGUAACAAGCAAAUUGUUGAGCAAACAUUUGGUUUCAAAAGAAGAGUGUCAGAGGAAGUGUAAAUACACUUGGCAGUAUGUAUGCAAUUACACUAAAGCAGAAUAUAAAUACAGCCCGGUUUGGCUUAGUGAAAAAACAAACAUGCAUAUCAAAAACACUUCAUGCUCAAUUUGAAGCCCCCAAGACUAUACAAGUUCAAUAUAAAGUGUGUCUUUUUUAAAAGUAUUCAAAUUAUGGGCAGAGGAAUUGUCCUCUUCAUGAACUAUUCUUGAUUGAUUUGAUGCAUUAUUUUUCUAUUUCACAUACCUGAUCUUUAUCUAUUGGUCCCCUCCAUGCUCAACAUAUGAACACAAUGCACUGAUAUGGGACAUUAAUUAUUUGGCUCAAGAUUCGACUGGAACAUCAUGGCAAUAUUUCAUACUCCAGAAUCCACAUUGAAGAGGUAAACAAUAUGCAAUAUGAGCUGAAAAUAAAAUGCAACUGAAUGUUCAGCAGCAUGUACCUGUGAUGAAUUGUAAUGCAAAAACAAAAAAGGUAAGAUUGCAAUGGUACAUGGAGACACUGCACUUGGACACAAGUGUUUGUAGUUUGCACAUAAGUACUUGUGUGUUUAAGAUCUGGGAUGUGAAA